rnacentral:rRNA from 1 species
GACGAACGCUGGCGGCGUGCCUAAUACAUGCAAGUCGAGCGAACGGACGAGAAGCUUGCUUCUCUGAUGUUAGCGGCGGACGGGUGAGUAACACGUGGAUAACCUACCUAUAAGACUGGGAUAACUUCGGGAAACCGGAGCUAAUACCGGAUAAUAUUUUGAACCGCAUGGUUCAAAAGUGAAAGACGGUCUUGCUGUCACUUAUAGAUGGAUCCGCGCUGCAUUAGCUAGUUGGUAAGGUAACGGCUUACCAAGGCAACGAUGCAUAGCCGACCUGAGAGGGUGAUCGGCCACACUGGAACUGAGACACGGUCCAGACUCCUACGGGAGGCAGCAGUAGGGAAUCUUCCGCAAUGGGCGAAGGCCUGACGGAGCAACGCCGCGUGAGUGAUGAAGGUCUUCGGAUCGUAAAACUCUGUUAUUAGGGAAGAACAUAUGUGUAAGUAACUGUGCACAUCUUGACGGUACCUAAUCAGAAAGCCACGGCUAACUACGUGCCAGCAGCCGCGGUAAUACGUAGGUGGCAAGCGUUAUCCGGAAUUAUUGGGCGUAAAGCGCGCGUAGGCGGUUUUUUAAGUCUGAUGUGAAAGCCCACGGCUCAACCGUGGAGGGUCAUUGGAAACUGGAAAACUUGAGUGCAGAAGAGGAAAGUGGAAUUCCAUGUGUAGCGGUGAAAUGCGCAGAGAUAUGGAGGAACACCAGUGGCGAAGGCGACUUUCUGGUCUGUAACUGACGCUGAUGUGCGAAAGCGUGGGGAUCAAACAGGAUUAGAUACCCUGGUAGUCCACGCCGUAAACGAUGAGUGCUAAGUGUUAGGGGGUUUCCGCCCCUUAGUGCUGCAGCUAACGCAUUAAGCACUCCGCCUGGGGAGUACGACCGCAAGGUUGAAACUCAAAGGAAUUGACGGGGACCCGCACAAGCGGUGGAGCAUGUGGUUUAAUUCGAAGCAACGCGAAGAACCUUACCAAAUCUUGACAUCCUUUGACAACUCUAGAGAUAGAGCCUUCCCCUUCGAGGGACAAAGUGACAGGUGGUGCAUGGUUGUCGUCAGCUCGUGUCGUGAGAUGUUGGGUUAAGUCCCGCAACGAGCGCAACCCUUAAGCUUAGUUGCCAUCAUUAAGUUGGGCACUCUAAGUUGACUGCCGGUGACAAACCGGAGGAAGGUGGGGAUGACGUCAAAUCAUCAUGCCCCUUAUGAUUUGGGCUACACACGUGCUACAAUGGACAAUACAAAGGGCAGCGAAACCGCGAGGUCAAGCAAAUCCCAUAAAGUUGUUCUCAGUUCGGAUUGUAGUCUGCAACUCGACUACAUGAAGCUGGAAUCGCUAGUAAUCGUAGAUCAGCAUGCUACGGUGAAUACGUUCCCGGGUCU